CCUACGGGUGACAGCAGUGGGGAAUAUUGCACAAUGGGGGAAACCCAGAUGCAGCGACGCCGCGUGAGUGAAGAAGUAUCUCGGUACGUAAAGCUCUAUCAGCAGGGAAGAAAAUGACGGUACCUGACUAAGAAGCACCGGCUAACUACGUGCCAGCAGCCGCGGUAAUACGUAGGGGGCAAGCGUUAUCCGGAUUUACUGGGUGUAAAGGGAGCGUAGACGGCAGCACAAGUCUGGAGUGAAAUCCCGGGGCUUAACCCCCGAACUGCUUUGGAAACUGUGCGGCUGGAGUGCAGGAGGGGGAAGCGGAAUUCCUAGUGUAGCGGUGAAAUGCGUAGAUAUUAGGAGGAACACCGGUGGCGAAGGCGGCUUACUGGACUGUAACUGACGUUGAGGCACGAAAGCGUGGGGAGCGAACAGGAUUAGAUACCCGUGUAGUC
rnacentral:rRNA from 1 species